AUUGAACGCUGGCGGUAGGCCUAACACAUGCAAGUCGAGCGGAUGCACAGUGAGAGCUCGCUCUUACGGGUGGCGACUGGCGGGUGGGUCAUGGGUACAUCCCUGUCUACGUUGUCUUGGGUGAUAACGUGGGGACACUUACGGUAAUAGCGCAUACGGCCUACGGGUGAGAUCAUCGGAUCUUACGACCUUGCGCGAGUCUAUGAGGCGAUGUCGGAUUAGCUAGUUGGUGGGGUAAAGGCCCACCAAGGCGACGAUCCGUAGCUGGUCUGAGAGGAUGAUCAGCCACACUGGAACUGAGACACGGUCCAGACUCCUACGGGAGGCAGCAGUGGGGAAUAUUGGACAAUGGGCGAAAGCCUGAUCCAGCCAUACCGCGUGGGUGAAGAAGGUCUUCGGAUUGUAAAGCACUUUUAUUGGGGAAGAAAAGCAGUAAGUUAAUACCUCGCUGUUUUGACGGUACCAAAAGAAUAAGCACCGGCUAACUUCGUG
rnacentral:rRNA from 1 species